AAGAUUGAACUGAAGAGUUUGAUCAUGGCUCAGAUUGAACGCUGGCGGCAGGCCUAACACAUGCAAGUCGAGCGCGAAAACACUUCGGUGUGAGUAGAGCGGCGGA
rnacentral:rRNA from 1 species